AUUGAACGCUGGCGGCAGGCCUAACACAUGCAAGUCGAGCGGAUGAAGGGAGCUUGCUCCUGGAUUCAGCGGCGGACGGGUGAGUAAUGCCUAGGAAUCUGCCUGGUAGUGGGGGAUAACGUCCGGAAACGGGCGCUAAUACCGCAUACGUCCUGAGGGAGAAAGUGGGGGAUCUUCGGACCUCACGCUAUCAGAUGAGCCUAGGUCGGAUUAGCUAGUUGGUGGGGUAAAGGCCUACCAAGGCGACGAUCCGUAACUGGUCUGAGAGGAUGAUCAGUCACACUGGGACUGGGACACGGUCCAGACUCCUACGGGAGGCAGCAGUGGGGAAUAUUGGACAAUGGGGGAAAGCCUGAUCCAGCCAUGCCGCGUGGGUGAAGAAGGUCUUCGGAUUGUAAAGCACUUUAAGUUGGGAGGAAGGGCAGUAAGUUAAUACCUUGCUGUUUUGACGUUACCAACAGAAUAAGCACCGGCUAACUUCGUG
rnacentral:rRNA from 1 species